GAUGAACGCUGGCGGCGUGCUUAACACAUGCAAGUCGAACGGAAAGGCCCAAGCUUGCUUGGGUACUCGAGUGGCUAACGGGUGAGUAACACGUGGGUGAUCUGCCCUGCACUUCGGGAUAAGCCUGGGAAACUGGGUCUAAUACCGGAUAGGACCACAUUUUGGAUGGUGUGGUGGAAAGUUUUUCGGUGUGGGAUGAGCUCGCGGCCUAUCAGCUUGUUGGUGGGGUAAUGGCCUACCAAGGCGUCGACGGGUAGCCGGCCUGAGAGGGUGUACGGCCACAUUGGGAAUGAGAGACGGCCCAGACUCCGAAGGGAGGAAGCAGUGGGGAAUAUUGAAAAAUGGGCGCAAGCCUGAUGCAGCGAAGAGGCGGGGGGGAGGACGGCCUUCGGGUUGUAAAAGCAUUUCGCUAGGGACGAAGCGUUAUGUGACGGUACCUGGAGAAGAAGAACCGGCUAACUACGUG
rnacentral:rRNA from 1 species